GCCUCAGGCAUCAACGUGUUUGAUCCAAAGUUCAACAUUGUUGCUCCAGGUGCUGAUCAAUCUGUCUAUUUCCCUUACACCAAGAAACAAAAGCGUUUAACCUCCUUCCAUCCUGCCAUUGAAGAGUUACUCUAUAGUAGAGAAGACAACAAUGAGCACAUGUAAGUACAGUCUCAAUUACUUGCAGAUAACGUAGAAUCAAUUGUUUAACUAAAGAGAAAAAUUAUGGUUUUGCAACAGUGGAUAUCUUGCAGACAGAAGAAAACCAAUUAUCUUCUCAAUGGCAAGACUUGAUACAGUAAAGAACAUUACAGGACUAACCGAAUGGUAUGGGAAGAACAAAAGGUUGAGAGAUUUGGUGAAUCUUGUUGUUGUAGCUGGAUUCUUUG
rnacentral:lncRNA from 1 species